UCUUAGAGCCUAUCCCACCAGGCGUUAAUUGGCGCAGCCAGUUUGGACACGGA
rnacentral:sRNA from 1 species